UUAUCCUUUUUUUUUCUUAAUUUAAUUUUUAGAUAUUUCAGUUUAGCUUUUUUCUCAUUCGUUUUUCCCAAAUUUUAAGAAGUUAGAGGCAAUUUGUCGAAAUUGAACCUUUUAAUUUCCACCAUUUUCCUUUCUUCAAGCAUAGUGUCCGGGAAUUAAUCUGUUUAAAGAACUAUGAGCUUUUACAGAUUUAUGCCAAGCCAUUUGAUUUUUUUUGAAGAUGACUGUCGGCAAGAGCUGAAAUUACCAGACAGUUGGACUGCUAUGUUGGCUGGUGUGUCGAGUUCAGUGCAAGUGUUUCGCGGGAGUAAGAGGCGAGUGUGGAAUGUCCAACUACUCAAAAUCAUAAAGGAAACCCAAGUAUACAUGUGCUUAGAUUUUGGUGGAAAAUAUUUGUUGAUGAUAAUCAUAUAAGUAGUGGUGAAAGUAUCAUGAUUUACUAUGGUGGAAACCAAAAGUUUCAUGUACGGAUAUUCUCACCCUCAAUGGUUGAAAGGUUUGGCUCUACCGAACCUCUGCAUCAUAGUGCAUCAAGUCGUGGAAUUGGAAAUGUUGAUUUUAGAGAAUACUUGGGUAUUGGAAAUAAACCAUGGUUUCCUCUAGUGAUCAAUUCGGAAUGUUUUGCAAGAGAUUACUUGGUUUGUAUUUUUUUUAUUGUGCCUUAUUUAUGAUAAGCCAAUGUCAAAACUUGCAAUAGUGUUUUAAUGAGUUCUUUCUUUCGAUAUGUGCAUGAUGUUCCUGAAACUUUUGGAAAUCAGGUCUUUUCAAAUGUAAACUUGCAAACACAAAUUCAAGUUUGAUAUGGUGGCAAAACAUGGAAUGCUGAUGUUCAUAUUUGCUACAAGGAUAAUGAAAAUAUCUAUAGUAGAAUAAUGAAUGGGAUAUCACAAGUGUUCUUAGAUGGAAAUUUAAAAGUUGGAAAAAUUGGUGAUGUAUUUUUGCAGAACAAUGAUCCAGGUAUCUUAGAAAUAGUAUUUCAUUAGUAUGUAAUUGAUUUAUGUAUUGUAAUCGAUUUUGAUGGUGGAUAUUUAUCAAUUACUUGAAUCGAGUUUUUUUUAUUUUAUCAUUUGCUUUGGCUUAUUUCCUAGUCUAAAUAAGUUGGAUUUAUUUAAAACAUUAUAUUAAACUAUUAUCAUUCAAUUAACAUAACAAGUUCUAUUAAUUCUUUUAAAAA